rnacentral:rRNA from 1 species
UACGUAGGUUGCGAGCGUUGUCCGGAAUUAUUGGGCGUAAAGGGCGCGUAGGCGGCCUGACAAGUGGAAGGUGAAAUCCCUCGGCUUAACCGAGGAACUGCCCUCCAAACUGUUUGGCUUGAGACCGGGAGAGGUGAGUGGAAUUCCCAGUGUAGCGGUGAAAUGCGUAGAUAUUGGGAGGAACACCAGUGGCGAAGGCGGCUCACUGGACCGGUACUGACGCUGAGGCGCGAAAGCGUGGGGAGCAAACGGG